ensembl:lncRNA
GUGUUUGACUCUCAUGUGCCGACCAAGUUUGAUAAAAAUAAAACGGGCUUAUUCCUGGAGGGACUGUCCUUCUCCUUCCUGUCUCUCCCUCUCGCUGUCCCCCUCUCUCUCUCUCUCUCUUUAUUGACACAAAUGCUUACUCGACACGUCUUCUGUGUCUCUGGAGUGGUUGUCCAUCAGUUUGUCGGCUCUGCUCUCUUCGCAGCUGGGAACUUGCACCACCAUUUUAACCAGCAGGGGUCUGCUUCCAGCCCCAAACACUCUGCUACCAUCGAGCGCGGCGCCCGUAUGAACAACACCUCCCAGCUCUCCUCGGGGUCUACCCUGAUUUCAGGUGUCGGUAAAGCCCCCGGAGGCGGCGGCGGCGGCGGCCUCAUCGGAGGAGGAAUGAGACACAACAGCAGCCACCCGUCCUUCUCCCACUCCUUCCACAACCUGGCCCAGCUGCCGCCGUCCUACGAGGCGGCCAUGAAACCUGAGAUCAACCGCUACAGCUCCCUGAAGAGGCUGGAGAAAGAACUGGACGAGUACUCCAGCUACUACAACUCCAAGCGUCGCUCCAACAACGCCCCGCCCUCCUUCCACUCCUCGCAGCACCACCUGCCGUGGGGUGGCGACUACACGCUGGGCUCCAGGGGCACGCUGCCGCUCCACGGCUCCCGGCCCCACCUCCACAUCCCAGCCUCCACGCCGAACCCGUACCCGCUGCCCUCGCAGACGCCGUACAACGCCAACUCCACCUUCGACAGGCCGCCGCGCCGCGUUCGUUCCCAGGACCAGCUGCUGGCGCUGGCGGAGGGCAACACGCUGUCCCGCCUGUCCAAGAACCAGCAGCAUCAGUACUACAAAGCCAUGAUGAGCAUCAGCAGGAGCUCCACGUCACAGACGCUCCGCAGGUCCCACGAGCGGCUCCUGGUCUCUCCUGACCGGCUGGACGACCGGCUGCUGCCGAUGGGUCUGAUGGAGAGGGGCGGGGGCACGGGGAUGGUUCCCACCAUGGGUCGGCUCAGCCACCACCAGAAGGCCCAGUCGCAGCAGAACAUCUGCGCCACGCCGUCUCUGGACCGCCACCACAUGAUCAAGAUGAACUCGCACCCGACGCCCGGCCACGAGCACGACCGCAGCUCCGCGGGCAUGGGCAAGCACGGCGGCUGGGACCCCCACGGCGGAGGAGGAGAAAGAGGAGGAGGAGGAGGAGGAAUGGGGUCGAUGGGAGGACACCCCAACGCCCGACGAAUGGCUUUUGCCAGCAAGAGGCAGAACACCAUCGAACAGCUGCACUUCAUCCCCGGAGGAGGAGGAGGAGGAGGGCAGGGACUGCGGACUGGGAGUAAGAACGAGGUGACAGUGUGAGAGGAAGAUGAGGAGAGGUGAAGGCUGAAGAGAGAGAGAGAGAGAGAGGGUCUGUGAAGCUCUCAGCUGGCUGCCCCCCCCCCCCCUUCACUAAAUAUGUCCUGUAUGAUGACGUUUAAGCCAAUCGAUUCUCUUCUUGUCACUUUGUGUGUUGAAAGAGAAAUUUCAGCCAUUCUUUGUAAAGGGAAGAUACACGCCCUCCUAAAAAGAGCAAAAAAAACAGGCAGCUGGACGGCUGCUGGGUCUCCGCUGUGACUUUUACUGAAGGAUUUCUGCUGAGUCCGAUUUGUUGAAUUGUCCUUGAGUUUUAUUGCACUGCUGUCCUCCGAGUCCUCGAGCACUCCGACAGAUCGGUCUGUCUUUGAAUCCGCCGUGGAUGAUGGAGAGCGCCGAGCCGGAGGCGGACGGGUUUGCUUGUCUUUGUAUUUAUAAAAAAAGUAUUUAAAAACCAAACGAGCUGCUUUUGUAUGAGAUGAACCUGAUGAUGAUGAUGAUAAUUAUAAUAACAUGAAGAUAACUGAGCCCUGUAGGAUUUUGUGUAUACUUAGUUGAAAACCUAUUUAUCCUUUAGCCAGCCGUAACGGCUGCAUAUGUAAUCAGCCGAUCGUUUCUUUCUCUAGCUGUGAUUGGAUGAUCGAUCGAACCGCAGAAAUAAUCGAGCCGCGUGCCGUCAUCUGCUUUAUGGCUCGAGAUAAGAAAACAAAACAUUUAGGAAGAAAACGUCAUCUCAAAUUGUUGCCAAACAGGCCCGGCCACACCAGCAGGGGAAGAUUUUACCGCUGACGAAGAGGAGGCUGUUUUUGUAGUCCAACAUGGAGGAUGCUAGUGUAGCACAUUAGCUGCACGUCCGUUUUCAUUUAUCCUCCUGUAGUGGAGAAGGAACGGCUCCAAAAAUGGAAUUACUAGGACGAAAAUGUCACGUUUUUGCCCCAUUAGCAAGUAGCCUGCUAGCCUAGUAGUUAGCGAGAUCGCUCUCUUUAGUGACUUUUUAAUAACGUAAAUGCUGUAAAUCCCAAGAAUUAUUAGUGACUGCUCCAUCCACUUGUACUUUACCCUUUAUUUUUGGGGAAGAAAUGGGCCCCCCAAAAAAUGUAUAGCAUAAAAAUAUCUUUUGAAUAAACUGUUAUUAUUGACUGUUAUUAGUGACUAG